UAUCGCCACCGUCUUGCCAACGUUGGCGGGCAGACACAAUUCGACUUUGAUUAUUAUCCAAAAUUCUGGAUGUCUUCGAGAACUUCGCUUCAACAGACUCUCACCCACAUGCUCAGGAGGGCAGCUGCCAAUGAAAGUGACGACCCUGAUUAUUGGCGGAUUGGACUGGAUGUCUGUCGAGCAUUUUGAAACGAUCCAGCGAGUCUUAGCCGCCGAAGGUUUAUCACGGAUGGCGGUAGUAAUCAAAAUGGCGGGCGCCGGAUUGUUUCAAUCAGACGUGACAACAACACAUGGCGAAAAAGGGCUCGUCUCGACCGCCCGUCGACUAGCCCGCUUGUCGGAGACGGCCCGUCUC